rnacentral:rRNA from 1 species
UACGUAGGGUGCGAGCGUUAAUCGGAAUUACUGGGCGUAAAGCGUGCGCAGGCGGUUCGUUGUGUCGGCGGUGAAAGCCCCGGGCUUAACCUGGGAAUGGCCGUUGAAACUGGCGAACUGGAGUGUGGCAGAGGGGGGUGGAAUUCCGCGUGUAGCAGUGAAAUGCGUAGAUAUCAGGAGGAACACCGAUGGCGAAGGCAGGUCUCUGGGCUGACACUGAUGCUCAUGCACGAAAGCGUGGGGAGCAAACAGG